rnacentral:lncRNA from 1 species
UAAUAUUUUAAAUAGGCAUUCGAGGCACCGCACGCCUGAUAUCUAUUGGAUAUUAGAAUUAUCAUUCAUUAUAUGACCAUCUUAUUAUGCCCUUCAGAUCAAUGCUCAGGUUGGCUAAGCCACACUUGGACCUGGAUAUUCAUUUAUUGGAUGCACUUGGUGUAGUCAUAUUAAUGGUUGGACCUAACUAAAAUUUUCAAUGGAGGUACCACACGUCUACUGAAGAGAUAUCUGAGGCAAAACCUAAUUGCUAGAAGUUGUUUAGAGAAACAAUUGAUUAGAAACCUACCCAUGGAUGUACUA